GAUGAACGCUGGCGGCGUGCCUAAUACAUGCAAGUCGAGCGAACAGACGAGAAGCUUGCUUCUCUGAUGUUAGCGGCGGACGGGUGAGUAACACGUGGAUAACCUACCUAUAAGACUGGGAUAACUUCGGGAAACCGGAGCUAAUACCGGAUGAUAUUUUGAACCGCAUGGUUCAAUAGUGAAAGACGGUCUUGCUGUCACUUAUAGAUGGAUCCGCGCUGCAUUAGCUAGUUGGUAAGGUAACGGCUUACCAAGGCAACGAUGCAUAGCCGACCUGAGAGGGUGAUCGGCCACACUGGAACUGAGACACGGUCCAGACUCCUACGGGAGGCAGCAGUAGGGAAUCUUCCGCAAUGGGCGAAAGCCUGACGGAGCAACGCCGCGUGAGUGAUGAAGGUCUUCGGAUCGUAAAACUCUGUUAUUAGGGAAGAACAUAUGUGUAAGUAACUGUGCACAUCUUGACGGUACCUAAUCAGAAAGCCACGGCUAACUACGUG
rnacentral:rRNA from 1 species